UUUAAAUGAAGACCAGAACAAAAGAUAAAACAUUUCAAUUAAUUUCUUAAACUAAUUACUCAAAAUUAUCCUAAAUGUAAAAAGACUUUUUUACAAAAGAAAGACGACUAGACCCUAUGGAACUUUACUAUGGUUUAACUGGGGCAGUUAAUUAAUUAAUACUUUAAUAAUAUUCCCAACAAACAUGAUCCAAUAACAUUGGUUAAAUAAUCAGGUUACCAUAGGGAUAACAGCGUAAUAAAUCUUUAAAGACCUUAUAUAAAUAUGAGCUUACGACCUCGAUGUUGAAUUAAUUACCUAAUUAACGCAAAAGUUAUUAAAGGAAGUCUGUUCGACUUUUAAAAAAUUACAUGAUUUGAGUUCAGACCGGUAUAAGCCAGGUCGGUUUCCAUCUUCUCAUUACUCUUUACGGUACGAAAGGGCCUAAGGAAAUAAUAUAAUUAUAUUAUUGACGGAACAAUGUGGUAGAAUUAGAAUCUAAUAAAGAUACAAUUAUAUUUACCAUCUCAUAUCUCAUCAUUACAAUUAGA
rnacentral:rRNA from 1 species